rnacentral:tRNA from 35 species
UGGUAGAGCAGAGGACUG